UACAGAGGGGGCGAGCGUUGUUCGGAAUUACUGGGCGUAAAGGGCGCGUAGGCGGCCUCCUAAGUCGAACGUGAAAUCCCUGGGCUCAACCCAGGAACUGCGUCCGAUACUGGAAGGCUUGAAUCCGGGAGAGGGAUGCGGAAUUCCAGGUGUAGCGGUGAAAUGCGUAGAUAUCUGGAGGAACACCGGUGGCGAAGGCGGCAUCCUGGACCGGUAUUGACGCUGAGGCGCGAAAGCCAGGGGAGCAAACGGG
rnacentral:rRNA from 1 species